rnacentral:lncRNA from 1 species
GUCUGGGAAACUUGCUUCAUGGCCAAUGUACAUUAUUAGCUUUUGCAAGAUUCUAAGUAGCUCUAGGGUAUUGAGGUCUGUGGAAUUUUGUUUAACUUAUGACCAUUAAUUUUCUUGUGUAGGGAGCAGUCUUUUAAGGACCAACUUGGGAAAUACUGCCUCACAAUAUGGAGUAUGGCUCUUUUGCCAAUGACUAUAAUUUAUUUGGGAGUUUAUUUUGUGUUU